rnacentral:snRNA from 1 species
CGGGUAGUUACGGUUGCGGCAAA